rnacentral:rRNA from 1 species
GACGAACGCUGGCGGCGUGCCUAAUACAUGCCAGUCGAGCGCUGAAGGUUGGUACUUGUACCAACUGGAUGAGCAGCGAACGGGUGAGUAACGCGUGGGGAAUCUGCUUUUGAGCGGGGGACAAUAUUUGGAAACGAAUGCUAAUACCGCAUAAAAACUUUAAACACAAGUUUUAAGUUUGAAAGAUGCAAUUGCAUCACUCAAAGAUGAUCCCGCGUUGUAUUAGCUAGUUGGUGAGGUAAAGGCUCACCAAGGCGAUGAUACAUAGCCGAGCUGAGAGGGUGAUCGGCCACAUUGGGACUGGGACACGGCCCAAGCUCCUACGGGAGGCAGCCGUAGGGAAUCUUCGGCCAUGGACGGAAGUCUGAACGAGCAACGCCGCGUGAGUGAAGAAGGUUUUCGGGUCGUAAAACUCUGUUGGUAGGGAAGAACGUUGGUGAGGGUGGAAAGCUCAUCAAGUGACGGUAACUACCCAGAAAGGGACGGCUAACUACGUG